GACGCACGCUGGCGGCGUGCUUUACACAUGCAAGUCGAACGAAGAGCGAUGGAAGCUUGCUUCUAUCAAUCUUAGUGGCGAACGGGUGAGUAACGCGUAAUCAACCUGCCCUUCAGAGGGGGACAACAGUUGGAAACGACUGCUAAUACCGCAUACGAUCCAACCUCGGCAUCGAGGAUGGAUGAAAGGUGGCCUCUAUUUAUAAGCUAUCACUGAAGGAGGGGAUUGCGUCUGAUUAGCUAGUUGGAGGGGUAACGGCCCACCAAGGCAAUGAUCAGUAGCCGGUCUGAGAGGAUGAACGGCCACAUUGGGACUGAGACACGGCCCAGACUCCUACGGGAGGCAGCAGUGGGGAAUCUUCCGCAAUGGACGAAAGUCUGACGGAGCAACGCCGCGUGAGUGAUGACGGCCUUCGGGUUGUAAAGCUCUGUUAAUCGGACGAAAGGUCCUCUUGCGAAUAGUUAGAGGAAUUGACGGUACC
rnacentral:rRNA from 1 species